rnacentral:rRNA from 1 species
AUUGAACGCUGGCGGCAGGCUUAACACAUGCAAGUCGAACGAUGAUUAUCUAGCUUGCUAGAUAUGAUUAGUGGCGGACGGGUGAGUAACAUUUAGGAAUCUGCCUAGUAGUGGGGGAUAGCUCGGGGAAACUCGAAUUAAUACCGCAUACGACCUACGGGUGAAAGGGGGCGCAAGCUCUUGCUAUUAGAUGAGCCUAAAUCAGAUUAGCUAGUUGGUGGGGUAAAGGCCCACCAAGGCGACGAUCUGUAACUGGUCUGAGAGGAUGAUCAGUCACACCGGAACUGAGACACGGUCCGGACUCCUACGGGAGGCAGCAGUGGGGAAUAUUGGACAAUGGGGGCAACCCUGAUCCAGCCAUGCCGCGUGUGUGAAGAAGGCCUUUUGGUUGUAAAGCACUUUAAGCAGGGAGGAGAGGCUAAUGGUUAAUACCCAUUAGAUUAGACGUUACCUGCAGAAUAAGCACCGGCUAACUCUGUGCCAGCAGCCGCGGUAAUACAGAGGGUGCGAGCGUUAAUCGGAAUUACUGGGCGUAAAGCGAGUGUAGGUGGCUCAUUAAGUCACAUGUGAAAUCCCCGGGCUUAACCUGGGAACUGCAUGUGAUACUGGUGGUGCUAGAAUAUGUGAGAGGGAAGUAGAAUUCCAGGUGUAGCGGUGAAAUGCGUAGAGAUCUGGAGGAAUACCGAUGGCGAAGGCAGCUUCCUGGCAUAAUAUUGACACUGAGAUUCGAAAGCGUGGGUAGCAAACAGGAUUAGAUACCCUGGUAGUCCACGCCGUAAACGAUGUCUACUAGCCGUUGGGGUCCUUGAGACUUUAGUGGCGCAGUUAACGCGAUAAGUAGACCGCCUGGGGAGUACGGCCGCAAGGUUAAAACUCAAAUGAAUUGACGGGGGCCCGCACAAGCGGUGGAGCAUGUGGUUUAAUUCGAUGCAACGCGAAGAACCUUACCUGGUCUUGACAUAGUGAGAAUCCUGCAGAGAUGCGGGAGUGCCUUCGGGAAUUCACAUACAGGUGCUGCAUGGCUGCCGUCAGCUCGUGUCGUGAGAUGUUGGGUUAAGUCCCGCAACGAGCGCAACCCUUUUCCUUAUUUGCCAGCGGGUUAAGCCGGGAACUUUAAGGAUACUGCCAGUGACAAACUGGAGGAAGGCGGGGACGACGUCAAGUCAUCAUGGCCCUUACGACCAGGGCUACACACGUGCUACAAUGGUAGGUACAGAGGGUUGCUACACAACGAUGUGAUGCUAAUCUCAAAAAGCCUAUCGUAGUCCGGAUUGGAGUCUGCAACUCGACUCCAUGAAGUCGGAAUCGCUAGUAAUCGCAGAUCAGAAUGCUGCGGUGAAUACGUUCCCGGGCCU